GGCUCAGAACGAACGCUGGCGGCGCGUUUAAGCAUGCAAGUCGAGCGGCAAGGGCCUUCGGGCCCCUAGAGCGGCGGACGGGUGAGUAACACGUGGACAAUCUGCCCCCCGGCCCGGGAUAGCCCAGGGAAACCUGGAUUAAUACCGGAUGAGACGGGACCCGCGAUGGCGGGACCCGGGAAAGGCGCUGCGGCGCCGCCGGGGGAUGAGUCUGCGUCCCAUUAGCUAGACGGCGGGGUAACGGCCCACCGUGGCGACGAUGGGUAGCCGGCCUGAGAGGGUGGACGGCCACAUUGGAACUGAGACACGGUCCAGACUCCUACGGGAGGCAGCAGCUAAGAAUCUUCCGCAAUGGGCGAAAGCCUGACGGAGCCGACGCCGCGUGAACGAAGAAGGCCGUGAGGUUGUAAAGUUCUUUUCGGGAGGGGGAACAACCGUGGCAGGGAAUGGCCGCGGGAUGACGUGAAUCCCGGAAUAAGCCCCGGCUAACUACGUGCCAGCAGCGGC
rnacentral:rRNA from 1 species